rnacentral:rRNA from 1 species
GAGUUUGAUCCUGGCUCAGAUUGAACGCUAGCGGGAUGCUUUACACAUGCAAGUCGAACGGCAGCGCGGACUUCGGUCUGGCGGCGAGUGGCGAACGGGUGAGUAAUGUAUCGGAACGUGCCCAGUAGCGGGGGAUAACUACUCGAAAGAGUAGCUAAUACCGCAUACGCCCUACGGGGGAAAGGGGGGGAUCGCAAGACCUCUCACUAUUGGAGCGGCCGAUAUCGGAUUAGCUAGUUGGUGGGGUAAGGGCUCACCAAGGCAACGAUCCGUAGCUGGUUUGAGAGGACGACCAGCCACACUGGGACUGAGACACGGCCCAGACUCCUACGGGAGGCAGCAGUGGGGAAUUUUGGACAAUGGGGGAAACCCUGAUCCAGCCAUCCCGCGUGUGCGAUGAAGGCCUUCGGGUUGUAAAGCACUUUUGGCAGGAAAGAAAUUGCGCGGGUUAAUAACCCGUGUAGAUGACGGUACCUGCAGAAUAAGCACCGGCUAACUACGUGCCAGCAGCCGCGGUAAU